rnacentral:rRNA from 1 species
UACGAAGGGUGCUAGCGUUGUUCGGAAUCACUGGGCGUAAAGGGCGCGUAGGCGGUUUGACAAGUCAGAGGUGAAAGCCCAGGGCUCAACCCUGGAAUUGCCUUUGAAACUGUCAGACUUGAGUGUCGGAGGGGAUAGCGGAAUUGCUAAUGUAGAGGUGAAAUUCGUAGAUAUUAGCAGGAACACCGGUGGCGAAGGCGGCUAUCUGGACGACAACUGACGCUGAGGCGCGAAAGCGUGGGGAUCAAACGGG